rnacentral:rRNA from 1 species
AACGAACGCUGGCGGCAGGCUUAACACAUGCAAGUCGAGCGCCCCGCAAGGGGAGCGGCAGACGGGUGAGUAACGCGUGGGAAUCUACCCAUCUCUACGGAAUAACGCAUGGAAACGUGUGCUAAUACCGUAUACGUCCUUCGGGAGAAAGAUUUAUCGGAGAUGGAUGAGCCCGCGUUGGAUUAGCUAGUUGGUGGGGUAAAGGCCUACCAAGGCGACGAUCCAUAGCUGGUCUGAGAGGUUGAUCAGCCACACUGGGACUGAGACACGGCCCAGACUCCUGCGGGAGGCAGCAGUGGGGAAUAUUGGACAAUGGGCGCAAGCCUGAUCCAGCCAUGCCGCGUGAGUGAUGAAGGCCCUAGGGUUGUAAAGCUCUUUCACCGGUGAAGAUAAUGACGGUAACCGGAGAAGAAGCCCCGGCUAACUUCGUGCCAGCAGCCGCAGUAACAC